rnacentral:rRNA from 1 species
UACGGGGGGGGCAAGCGUUGUUCGGAAUUACUGGGCGUAAAGGGCGCGUAGGCGGCUUUUCAAGUCGGGCGUGAAAUCUCCGGGCUUAACCCGGAAGGGUCGUUCGAUACUGUUGAGCUAGAGUGUGGAAGAGGCAACUAGAAUUCCGUGUGUAGCGGUGAAAUGCGUAGAUAUACGGAGGAAUACCUGAGGCGAAGGCGGGUUGCUGGGCCGAACACUGACGCUGAGGCGCGAAAGCCAGGGGAGCAAACGGG